UGUUAUUUAAUAUUUGGCUACGCAUGAGCACAGCAUGUUUCUAUCACAUAAUCCUGUCACACCAGCGAAGACUUCUCCUCUGCAGCCCUGCUGACUCCCUUGUGUGGCUGAACGCAGCCCCAGCUGUUGCUAUGUUUUGGUCUUAUCGCACAACAACAACAAAAGAUAAAAUGCUCGCUGAGAACAGUCUGCCCUUACUGGCGCGAUCCCACACACACUUUGUCCACUGUCAGCAUCACAUGGGACGAAAGCAGAUGCUUUUUUUUGCUGAGAUCUAGGGCACUUACAUCAUAGUGAGGAAAGUGAAAAGUGCAGCCCAUUGGCUCUUGGAAAGAGAAGCACUUGUUAAAAAACAUCCAUCAGGAGUGAAGCGAACCAGCCACAGCAACGCCUUCAACCCUUUGGAAUCAAAGGAAGGUGUGUCUGCUGCUUCCAGCCCUGGAAACGUCCAGGAGAGGUGUUGGUGCUGCAACCAUAGCAACGUAAACAGGAGGGUUCAAACACAGAUUGUGCAAAGAUUAUGUGAGCGUCUGCAGCUCGUUGGGAAACGCUUCAACUUGCAACGCCCACUACUCACUCCUGGCGUCCAGCUCAGCAGCAGGCGUGUAUUUUAUUAGCAAACGUUAAGUGUGUGUUUUACAGCGUCUCAGCAGUAUAAAAAUAAGUCUGUCUCUGUGUGCCUAUGUGUGAGAGUGUGAUUAC